ACAGAGACUGCAAGCGUUAUUCGGAUUCACUGGGCGUAAAGGGUGCGCAGGCGGCCGUGUGUGUGAGGCGUGAAAGCCUGGAGCUUAACUCCAGAAUUGCACCUCAAACUACAUGGCUAGAGCAUUGGAGAGGGUAGCAGAAUUCAUGGUGUAGCAGUGAAAUGCGUAGAUAUCAUGAGGAAUACCAGAGGCGAAGGCGGCUACCUGGACAAUUGCUGACGCUCAGGCACGAAAGCGUGGGGAGCAAAAGGGAUUAGAUACCCCUGUAGUCCACGCCCUAAACGGUGCACACUAGGUCUUGGCGGAUUCGACCCCACCAGGGCCCAAGCUAACGCGUUAAGUGUGCCGCCUGAGGACUACGGUCGCAAGACUA
rnacentral:rRNA from 1 species